rnacentral:piRNA from 1 species
UGGACAAUUACUUCUGGGAGCCAAGUCUGU